GCGGUGCGCGCGGGGGCGGGAAUUCGGUGUGGUUGGGGCUUACCGAGGGCUGAGUUUCCCCGCUGGGCAGCUCAGAGGUGCCUCAGGCUCCAGCGUGUGGCUGCUGCGUGGUUUGGUCAGUUGUCGCUCUUCAUAAGGGUUAAAUAAUAUAAAAGCACAGCCCUUCGGCUAUUUUUGUAUUUUAUUUUUGCAAGCUAAAAGCCUCUAGUAUAACUAUAUCAAUGUAUAUCAGAGCUUUCCAAAAUAAUUCCCUAUCAAUAAGGCACUGCAGGCCUGGAGUCUAUACAGGCCAAAAGUCAAACAGCAAGAGGCUGCAGAGAGGACUGGACAGAAACAAAUAAGUAUUUAGACCAAUUUAGUCCACUUGUACUUUGUACAGACAACAAAUUCCUACAUCAUUGUCUGCGUGCUCGUGUAAGGGAAACUGACCAGGGUAGGAGUAAAGGGGAUAUCUCUGUGGGGCAGGGGGAUGGUGGGUUGAACUAUGGUGUCUUGCUUUCCCUGCAGGUUGAAAGUACAGAAGCUGAGCUGAGCAGGAGGAAUGUGCCUCAGAGGUAAAGAUGAGGAAUAUGCACUUGAAAAGAAGGUGACUGCACCUGAAGGCAACACUCAGAAGAGGAAGGUGUAUGCAUGCUAAUGAGAUGUGUACUUUCACUUCGGAUUGAAAUCACCAUUACCAUCAAGGAAGUCCAGCUUCUGGUGUUGCUUCUACGAACCUGUUCUGGUCCUCACUGGAAUGAUCUUGCUCACUUCACUAACCCUAAGAAAACAGGUAUUUUACAGCCACGUUAUUGUGAUAAAUCUUCUCCCCAAAGGUCUGGUGAAAGUCCAGGAUGGAAGGAUACAAAACCUGGUUCAGCUGGCUUGUUUGUCCUGAAGACUUCAUCCUCAGUGACUGCAGCUUGUGGUUUGGAAGCUCAGAUGCUUCAGUGAACUACAACAGUGAAGCAGGAAGCUUCUGUCCAGAGCAGAAAUUGCCAAUGUUAAAAGAAAAGAAAACAAACCGUGACCCUUUUUCCCUGUCGACAGGUGCUAUAUGGCAUGAAGAAGAGUGUGUGCUGGCAUCAGAUUCACUUAAAAAAAAUAAAAAAGGGCUGUCAGAGGUUUUUUAACUCUAUCAUAGGCUGAGUUAGUAUUUUCUCUUUUGCUGUGAUUAACCUGCAUAAAUGUUUAUUUGGAAAUUGUCUUACAAAAUAAUACAAAGACUAGCAGGGUUUAAAAUAUUGCUACCCCUCCCUCAACAAAAUGACAGCAUUUAACAUCAAAGUUAAACUAUAACCAGUGACAAGUGCAUUCAAAAGACUCUGUUAGAUGAGUAGAAGGAAAUAUGUUAAUAAGAUUAAGUAACAAGAACUGUUCGCGCAGUUCAGAAAUUACUGGAAAGAGUCAAAAUUUACCACCUAAAUAAAUAGCAGGGUAUUUGGGAAUAUGUGCUUCAAAUUUUUGAGAAGAAAAUAGGUGCAAAUUUUGGUUGUGAAAAUGGUAAUAGUGAUAACUUUCCAUGUGCUAGGAAAGACAUUUAUAGUAUAGAGAGAGCAAGCUUGAAGUGUUUGAAGGAUGGCUUUUAAACCUGGGGUUUCCUUCCUUUUCCCUACACCCCGUGGAACAAGUGAGGAUAGCAGCAGUAAAACUCUGGUUGGCAGAUGAGACUGUAGUUAGAAAAGUGUGUUGUCUUGUUGGUUUGUUGUGGGUUUGGGGUUUUUUUUAAAGCUCUAAAUGAACCUUUCCUGUUGAUCAAGGUAAUCAGUGUUGCUAAUAACCUACAGGUAAUUAAUGCAGCUUAUUCACAGCUGGUAAUCUGAGGAAAGACAAAGGUGUUUUCCUGUGCAUUUCAAAUAUAUUUUUUAAGGGCAGAUCAGCCUCGAGCAUUACAGUUAAUGUAAGUAGGCAUCAUUAAAACAGUAGAAUAUGUAAAGUUUGGCAACAGCAUCGCGGUAAAUAAUUUGGCAGAGCGUUACAGUCUUUGUUACCUCAAGUGAUCAGUUAUUUAAUUUUUUUAUGCCAAUCCCAGUUCAUCUGAAGCCAAUAAAAAGCUGCCAUAGA